rnacentral:rRNA from 1 species
ACUCAAAUGAAUAGACGGGGGCCCGCACAAGCAGUGGAGCAUGUGGUUUAAUUCGAUGCAACGCGAAGAACCUUACCCAGGUUUGACAUGCAGUGGACAGCUACAGAGAUGUAGAUUCCCGCAAGGGCCGCUGCACAGGUGCUGCAUGGCUGUCGUCAGCUCGUGCCGUGAGGUGUUGGGUUAAGUCCCGCAACGAGCGCAACCCUUAUCAUUAGUUGCCAACACGUUAGGGUGGGGACUCUAGUGAGACUGCCUGGGUUAACCAGGAGGAAGGUGAGGAUGACGUCAAGUCAGCAUGGCCCUUAUAUCUGGGGCUACACACGUGCUACAAUGGUCGGUACAGAAGGCAGCGAAGUCGUGAGAUGGAGCAAAUCCCAAAAGCCGACCCCAGUUCAGAUUGUAGUCUGCAACUCGACUACAUGAAGUUGGAAUUGCUAGUAAUGGCGAGUCAGCUACAUCGCCGUGAAUACGUUCCCGGGCCUUGUACACACCGCCCGU